rnacentral:rRNA from 1 species
GACGAACGCUGGCGGCGUGCUUAACACAUGCAAGUCGAACGGUAAGGCCCUUCGGGGUACACGAGUGGCGAACGGGUGAGUAACACGUGGGUGAUCUGCCCUGCACUUCGGGAUAAGCCUGGGAAACUGGGUCUAAUACCGGAUAGGACCACUGCCUGCAUGGGUGGUGGUGGAAAGCUUUUGCGGUGUGGGAUGGGCCCGCGGCCUAUCAGCUUGUUGGGGGGGUGAUGGCCUACCAAGGCGACGACGGGUAGCCGGCCUGAGAGGGUGACCGGCCACCCUGGGACGGAGAUACGGCCCAGACUCCUACGGGAGGCAGCAGUGGGGAAUAUUGCACAAUGGGCGCAAGCCUGAUGCAGCGACGCCGCGUGAGGGAUGACGGCCUUCGGGUUGUAAACCUCUUUCAGCACCGACGAAGCGCAAGUGACGGUAGGUGCAGAAGAAGGACCGGCCAACUACGUGCCAGCCGCCGCCGUAA